UGAGGAAUAUUGGUCAAUGGGCGCAAGCCUGAACCAGCCAUCCCGCGUGCAGGAAGAAGGUUUUCGGAUUGUAAACUUCUGUCCUCAGGGAAGAAAAAAAUGACGGUACCUGGGGAGGAAGCCCCGGCUAACUACGUGCCAGCAGCCGCGGUAAUACGUAGGGGGCGAGCGUUGUCCGGAAUGCCUGGGCGUAAGGGCGCGUAGUCGGCUUAUUAAGUGAAUAUUGAAAGCUGGAGGCUCAACCUUACAGACUAUAAUUCAAACUGGUAGACUCGAGAGUAGUAGAGGUAACUGGAAUUUCUUGUGUAGGAGUGGAAUCCGUAGAUAUAAGAAGGAACACCAAUGGCGUAGGCAGGUUACUGGAUUAUCGCUGACACUGAGGCACGAAAGCGUGGGGAGCGAACC
rnacentral:rRNA from 1 species